UACGAAGGGGGGCUAGCGUUGCUCGGAAUCACUGGGCGUAAAGCGCACGUAGGCGGAUCUUUAAGUCAGGGGUGAAAUCCUGGAGCUCAACUCCAGAACUGCCUUUGAUACUGGGGAUCUCGAGUCCGGGAGAGGUGAGUGGAACUCCGAGUGUAGAGGUGAAAUUCGUAGAUAUUCGGAAGAACACCAGUGGCGAAGGCGGCUCACUGGCCCGGUACUGACGCUGAGGUGCGAAAGCGUGGGGAGCAAACAGGG
rnacentral:rRNA from 1 species